rnacentral:rRNA from 1 species
GACGAACGCUGGCGGCGUGCCUAAUACAUGCAAGUCGAACGCAGUGGGGACGGGUGAGUAACACGUUGGUAACCUCCCAUCAGAGGGGAUAACACUUGGAAACAGGCUCUAAACCUAUACUGAUGGAUGGACCCGCGGUGCAUUAUCUAGUUGGUGAGGUAACGGCUCACCAAGGCCACGAUGCAUAGCCUGCCUGAGAGGGUGAUCAGCCACACUGUGGCUGAGCCACGGCCCAGCCUCCGACGAGAGACAGCAGUAGUGAAUCUUCGGCAAUGGACGAAAGUCUGACCGAGAAACGCGGCGUGAGUGAAGAGGGUUUUCGGAUCGUAAAACUCUGUUGUUAGAGAGGCGGUAUCUAACCAGAAAGCCACGGCUAACUACGUGCCAGCAGCCGCGGUAAUUG